UACGUAGGGUGCAAGCGUUGUCCGGAAUUAUUGGGCGUAAAGAGCUCGUAGGCGGUCUGUCGCGUCGGCUGUGAAAUCUCGGGGCUCAACCCCGAGCCUGCAGUCGAUACGGGCAGACUAGAGUGCUGUAGGGGGAGACUGGAAUUCCUGGUGUAGCGGUGAAAUGCGUAGAUAUCAAGAGGAACACCUGAGGUGAAGACGGGUUGCUGGGCUGACACUGACGCUGAGGCGCGAAAGCUAGGGGUAGCAACAGGGG
rnacentral:rRNA from 1 species